rnacentral:rRNA from 1 species
CCUANGGGUGGCAGCAGUGGGGAAUUUGGACAAUGGGGGCAACCCUGAUCCAGCAAUGCCGCGUGAGUGAAGAAGGCCUUCGGGUUGUAAAGCUCUUUUGUCAGGGAAGAAACGGUAGCCUCUAAUACAGGUUGCUAAUGACGGUACCUGAAGAAUAAGCACCGGCUAACUACGUGCCAGCAGCCGCGGUAAUACGUAGGGUGCAAGCGUUAAUCGGAAUUACUGGGCGUAAAGCGUGCGCAGGCGGUUAUAUAAGUCAGAUGUGAAAUCCCUGGGCUCAACCUAGGAACUGCAUUUGAGACUGUAUGGCUAGAGUGUGUCAGAGGGGGGUAGAAUUCCACGUGUAGCAGUGAAAUGCGUAGAUAUGUGGAGGAAUACCGAUGGCGAAGGCAGCCCCCUGGGAUAACACUGACGCUCAUGCACGAAAGCGUGGGGAGCAAACAGGAUUAGAUACCCGANUANUC